AGAGUUUGAUCCUGGCUCAGGACGAACGCUGGCGGCGUGCUUAACACAUGCAAGUCGAACGGAAAGGCCCCUUUGGGGGUACUCGAGUGGCGAACGGGUGAGUAACACGUGAGUAACCUGCCCUCGACUUCGGGAUAACUUCAGGAAACCGGGGCUAAUGCCGGAUAGGAAUCCUUGCUGCAUGGUGGGGGUUGGAAAGCUUCGGCGGUUUUGGAUGGACUCGCGGCUUAUCAGCUUGUUGGUGGGGUAGUGGCUUACCAAGGCUUUGACGGGUAGCCGGCCUGAGAGGGCGACCGGCCACAUUGGGACUGAGAUACGGCCCAGACUCCUACGGGAGGCAGCAGUGGGGAAUAUUGCACAAUGGGCGGAAGCCUGAUGCAGCAACGCCGCGUGCGGGAUGACGGUCUUCGGGUUGUAAACCGCUUUCAGCAGGGGCGAAGCUUUUGUGACGGUACCUGCAGAAGAAGCACCGGCUAACUACGUGCCAGCAGCCGCGGUGAUACGUAGGGUGCGAGCGUUGUCCGGAUUUAUUGGGCGUAAAGAGCUCGUAGGUGGUUGAUUGCGUCGGAAGUGAAAACUUGGGGCUUAACCCUGAGCGUGCUUUCGAUACGGGUUGACUUGAGGAAGGUAGGGGAGAAUGGAAUUCCUGGUGGAGCGGUGGAAUGCGCAGAUAUCAGGAGGAACACCAGUGGCGAAGGCGGUUCUCUGGACCUUUCCUGACGCUGAGGAGCGAAAGCGUGGGGAGCGAACAGGCUUAGAUACCCUGGUAGUCCACGCCGUAAACGGUGGGUACUAGGUGUGGGGUCCAUUCCACGGAUUCCGUGCCGUAGCUAACGCAUUAAGUACCCCGCCUGGGGAGUACGGCCGCAAGGCUAAAACUCAAAGGAAUUGACGG
rnacentral:rRNA from 1 species